GAUGAAGAACGUAGCGAAAUGUGAUAAGUAAUGUGAAUUGCAGAAUUCAGUGAAUCAUCGAGUUUUUGAACGCAUAUUGCGCCCUCUGGUAUUCCGGGGGGCAUGCCUGUUCGAGCGUCAUUAAAUAACCCUCAAGCAUAGCUUGGUGUUGGGCUUUUUUACGUCCUUGACUGGGAUGGGCCUAAAAAUUAGUGGCGAUGGCUUUUUUACUUUCAAGCGUAGUAAAUCUCGUCUUGCUAAAGAGGAAAAAGAUUUUUUUUCUGCCAAAAAUUUUAACAUUUAAAGUUGACCUCGGAUCAGGCAGGAUUACCCGCUGAACUUAAGCAUAUCAAUAAGCGGAGGA
rnacentral:misc_RNA from 1 species